rnacentral:rRNA from 1 species
UACGAGGGGGGCGAGCGUUGUUCGGAAUUAUUGGGCGUAAAGGGCUCGUAGGCGGUUUGUCGCGUCGGGAGUGAAAACCAGGUGCUUAACACCUGGCUUGCUUUCGAUACGGGCAGACUAGAGGUAUUCAGGGGAGAACGGAAUUCCUGGUGUAGCGGUGAAAUGCGCAGAUAUCAGGAGGAACACCGGUGGCGAAGGCGGUUCUCUGGGAAUGACCUGACGCUGAGGAGCGAAAGUGUGGGGAGCGAACAGG